ACAUCCUAACGCAAAAAAAAACCCUUUUCUCUUUGACCUCAGAACUGCAAACACCCUAGCACCGCAGCUAACUUGGUAUUAAUCUCCACCGUAACACCGCCACCGCCUUGGUAUUUUUCUCUAUCGGAACACUUCUGCAAAACCCCCCACACCACCAAUCCCAAACCAAUCUCAACAGAAUAGGAAUAAUGACACCUACAGAUUUUCUUAGAGUUUCGAACAACCAGAUUCUUCGAAUCGUAUGUGACGCUGCCAAUGUUGUUACUAAAAAGCUGACAUCGUCGUCUCCUCUUGUGUAACUCAAACCGGCGUUUAUAGAUGCAUUUCUGCACAAGAUGGAAAAAAAUCCAGAACUUCUGAAAAACAGAACCAUUUGGCCAAGGAGAUUCACUAUAUUGAUGGAUUUUGUUGAAUCUCAUGGGAAGAUUUACAGAACCACUAUUCGUUGUAAGAUCGCUGAGGGAAUAGUUGGUCAGAUGUUUGGUGAGUUUUCUUUAACCAAGAAACAAAAAAAUCUAGAGACCAACCUAAUGUUAAAGUUAAACAAACUCAAGAAAAUUAAGUGAUUUUUAUAUUUUAGGAAAUUGAUUUUAGGUGUAGUUUAUACUCUAUAGUUAUUUACAUCAAUGUUGAUAUAGAGUAUGGCUAACUUAAUUUGAGUAUUGAUAAUAAGUAUUUCAUGAAGUUUCACAAUGAUUAUGUUACAUAUUAUUAUUAAAUCAAUUGGGUUCGCUUGGUAUUCUAUCUCAUCAAUUUUGUUGUUCUAAUUUAAAUGAUUGAUCAAUCUAUGGUUAUGAUAUUGUGAAUUUCAAGGUUAUAUGUUUAUGAUGAAUGUCAUGUCACCCUAUGCAGGUAUGUCAUUUAUAAUUCAUCUUUUGUUUGUGUAUUUGGUUGUGUUCUUCUGCAAUUUUAAUUGAUCUUAUGCAUAUUUGCGAGGUUGUGUUCUUGUUUUCCACAUUCUUUUUUAUUGCCUAUGUUAUAUAGGCUUGGUUUAAAGACUUGCUGAGGUUUUUGAAGCGUGAUGGUCUGAAAAUGUUCAAUGUGUUCAAGCAAGUCUUCAAAUGGAAUGUAGUUUCUUUUUGUUGUAAGUUUUUAUAUAACUAUAGUUUUAGCUUGUGAUACAAGUCUUGUUAUAAUAUAAUAAGUUGGGUCUAGACUAAGUAGAAUUGUAAACUAGAAUUUUUCACACAUAUUAGUAGUCUCAAACUACCUUGUUCACUCUUUGGAAUAAACGAAAUACCAGAAUAUUUCAAGCGAAUGGAUAUCGAAAAAUAAUAUUCACUUGAUAACACACUAACAUCACCAACAUCAAUAGAAAACUCACAUUCCAAAGGUUCAGGUGUUUUUACAAUUGAGUGGUGAUUUGAUUGGUGUUCAUUCAUUUUUUUCUUCUAAAAAGCAUUGGUGAUCAUUAUUAGAGAUUCAAAUAAUUUUAGAGUUCUAAUUUUCUAUUAAGCUCAUCUUAAUUACUAUUUGUAUAAUAUUUAUCUUUAUUUUUUUAGUUUAGAUGAGCAUCAGUUUAAUGUACGAUCAUACACUAUUUUCUUCACCAAAUGAAGUGGUACAAUAUUAUUUUUCAUAUAUACAUUGAAUUUGGACCGAAUAUUUUUGUGAAUCAACAUCCUAUCAGCAUCAUCACUAGGAUAAUAUAUACCUAAGUAGUAAGUAGAACUUAUAAUGGAUAUUAGUGUGAAAACUCAAGUACGAAAUAGAUAAAUUUGAACAAUAUUAGUAUCUGUAUUUUUUGGAUCUAGUUUCCUUAAUUUUUCCACUCAACAUGCUUAUAAAUAGUUGUGCUGAUAUUGCAGAACUUUGUUAACAAAAUCAUGAGCAGCAGAGCACUCGUGAUUUAUCUUUAAGAUGUAUUCAUAUUUUUCUUGGAGUAAGAACAUAACAUUUUAUCUAUUUUGCCUGACCUAAUAGAAGUCAAUUCUAGAUCGAAUCUGAACUAACAGUAGAAGGGAUAGAGCAGUGGAAUGAUCUUCUUUCAGUAUUGCAGGGUGUUCAGUUGGUUCAACAUGCGGAGGAUUAUGUUUGGAGGAUAGUUUUAAUGUUCACUGCAAUUUCGGCAUCGUUGACAUACUAUCGGAGGAUGAAAAUUCCUGAAACUGCAAGAUACAUUGCUUUGGUUGCAAAGAAUGUUGAACAAGCUGCUGCGGAUAUGUCAAAAGAUAUGCAAGUUGAGAUAGAAAUUGACAAAUUGAAUUGGAAAAGGUUCAACAGUUGGACCAAAUCAAAGACAAGGAGAAAAUGGUUUUGGUUUGUACAUAUACUUAGAUUUUUUAAUCAUUAUCAGAUUUGUUUUGUUGUGAAACCUAUUUCAGAUUUGUAGCUAGAUGAGUUCUAAGUAUUUUUCUUGUUCUAUUUGAUUAAUAAAUUUUAUAGUUACAGUA